rnacentral:lncRNA from 1 species
UAAAGUCUGUGAACUACUUCUGGGGGCUGUAAUUGUCCCUCAAAAAGUAAUCCUGAACUUUUUUUCUGUUUAAUAUCAGGGUAAACUUCAAAAAUAAUGAGUAUGUAAGUGGAAUAAAAUCAACCUGUGGUACAAAAAUAUUUUUAACAUCCCAGAUGUAUCCUCCAAUAGGUGACUGUAAAUGACACAUUUGCCCAAGAAUAUCUAAAUUUCAAAUCUACACAGGAAGUUCUUUGUUUGAGAGCAGGAUGGAGUUAUUUUACUGUGUUUACAUGCAGCUUGGAAGUUAACAAUAACUAAAAGAAUACACCAGGUGAGUUCAUAAAAUUUAUUCAUGAUUUUCCAACAGCAAUGUAGAAUACCUAUAGCAAUGUAACAAAACUAGUAAAUGGAUUCAAACUGGAAGCAGGUGGCUUAGAUUUUAUUGUGUUAUGCAACAAAUGAUUUUGCUUCAUAUAUAUUUUUGUUCAUUUAUUUAACAGCUUUUGUUUUGCAAAGUUCUAUUAAGCAGCUGCAAUUUCUAGUUUAUAAUGCUUUUAAUUUACUAAAAGGAAAAUUGGAUACUUUUUAAAUGAAAUUAUUCAAUGGGGUCAAUAAAAUUUAAGCCAGAAGAGUUAUCUCCACAGGUGGCACUGCUGUAUUACAGGGUAAACAAUGCUACCAGUCAGCUGACCACUGUUUACUAAGUAAAUUCAGAGAAUUAUAGUAUGUGUUUUUAGCCUGUUAUUAAAUUGGUUUAUUGGUGUUGCACACAUUCAUGUUAAGGAAUAUAUAAACAGCAUACAGUAUGAAUGAAUGACUGAAUGGAGAUAAUUCAGUUUAGUGACCCAAUGUAUUGUGUUCAAAGAAGGCUCCAUCCAACAAUUCAAAGACAUGUUAAUGCAGUGAGGCAACUGAUGGCAAAUGAUGGCUUUGUGACGGUUAAUGAAAACUACAUGGUAUUUUACACUGAUGGUGGCGAACAGUGACUGAAAAUUUCUCAACCAAUAGUUACAUUUAGUUGAAAGUGAUGGUAUAAUCUUAUACAGACUAUACUGAAUUAUAACAAACAGUGGAAAACAUUGAUAUACUACAAUGACAGUGGAUCUGUAUAGAAACUGGUGGCAUUUUAGCUCCAUAUUGUUCCACCUAGUGAAGAAAUGUCAAAAUUCAUAAGCAGUUUUGUUAUACUACAGACUAUUAUGAAAUUAUAAAUUAAGAUGUGACAUGCA